UUGCCCUAGUAACGGCGAGUGAAGCGGCAACAGCUCAAAUUUGAAAUCUGGCCUCGGCCCGAGUUGUAAUUUGCAGAGGAUGCUUCUGGCGCGGUGCCUUCCGAGUUCCCUGGAACGGGACGCCACAGAGGGUGAGAGCCCCGUAUGGUCGGACACCAAGCCUGUGUGAAGCUCCUUCGACGAGUCGAGUAGUUUGGGAAUGCUGCUCUAAAUGGGAGGUAAAUCUCUUCUAAAGCUAAAUACCGGCCAGAGACCGAUAGCGCACAAGUAGAGUGAUCGAAAGAUGAAAAGCACCUUGAAAAGGGGGUUAAAUAGUACGUGAAAUUGUUGAAAGGGAAGCACUUGUGACCAGACUUGGGCCGGGCGGCUCAUCAGGGGUUCUCCCCUGUGCACUCCGCCCGGCACAGGCCAGCAUCGGUUCUCGUGGGGGGAUAAGACCGUCAGGAACGUAGCACCCUCCGGGGUGUGUUAUAGCCUGGCGGACGAUACCCCCGUGGGGACCGAGGUUCGCGCUCCGCAAGGAUGCUGGCGUAAUGGUCACCANUGACCCG
rnacentral:rRNA from 1 species